rnacentral:rRNA from 1 species
GCGCGGGUGCAGGCGUGAACCGCCUACGUGGCNGCGGUAGGCUAGCUUUUCCCAGAGAAGAAACCUGACNGUAUCUGGGGAAUAAGCAUCGGCUAACUCCGUGCCAGCAGCCGCGGUAAUACGGGGGAUGCAAGCGUUAUCCGGAAUUAUUGGGCGUAAAGAGUUCGUAGGUUGUUGUCAAAGCCUAUUGUUAAAUCUCAAGGCUUCACCUUGAAUCAGCAGUAGGGACCUGGCAACUAGAGUGCGGUAGAGGUAGGGGGAAUUCCCGGUGUANCGGUGAAAUGCGUAGAUAUCGGGAAGAACACCGGAGGCGAAAGCGCCCUACUGGGCCGACACUGACACUGAGGAACGAAAGCUAGGGUAGCNAAUGGGAUUAGAUACCCCAGUAGUCACG